GGGACACCACUGCACCCCAAGGACCCAGUUGCCACCCAGGGACUCUUCUCCACCACUGGGGACCCCUGCCACCCUGAGGGCCCCAAUGUCACCCCAGGGAUACCCCCCAACCCUGGGUACCCCGGUGUCACCCCAUGGACCCCAGUGUUACCUCAGGGACCCCACUGUCACCACAGGGACCCCACACCAUGCUGAGGAGCCCUGCUACCCUAGGGACCCAUCUCCAUCCUAGGGACCUCACUUAACCCCAGGGAACCUUCUCCACCCCAGGCACUACCCCUACACUAGGGAAUACCCGUCACUGUGGGGACCCCAUUUCCCCACCACUGCCUCUUGGGUGUGGGUCCCGGGGUUCAGGGUCUGGCCAAGGGGGUCCCUGCGUCCCGUCCCUGGUGGUGUUUUUAGGUGCUGCAGGACGGGGCCUGUGUCCCCCCCGCGCUGUGCCGCUGCCACCUGCCCCCCACCCUGGCCAUAGCGCACAACCUCUCCCUGGCACUGGAGCUGCCUCCGGGCACCAGCCUGCAGCACGGCUGCACCCGAUGGUGAGUGCUGGGGAUAGGCAUCACUGGGGGCUGGCGGGUGGGUGCUGACCCAUCACCUCUGUCUGCAGUGUCUGCGUCCACGGCACCUUCAACUGCUCCCAGGAGGAAUGUAAUGCCUGUCCUGCUGGUGAGCGCUGGCAGGGCCCUGAUGUGCUGGAUGGCUGUGAUCGGAGCUGCGGGGACAUUGCGGAGCCCCGGCACAACUGCAGCAUCCCCCCGGCCCCCGGCUGUGCCUGCCAGCCCGGGCACUACCGCAACAGCACCGGACACUGCGUCCUGGCCGCUCUCUGCCGGCAGCUUGUGGCAGGAUGGGUGUGAGAUGUGCCGCUGCCAGGAUGGGAGAGUAACCUGUGCUGCUGGCUGUGCCCCACUGGCCUGCCCUGAGGUGUGGGGGGUCAGAUAUGGGAGGGACACGUUGAGAGGGAGAUACAUGAGAAGAGGGGAUGUGUGUUGGGAUGGGACAUGUGGGGAGAAG
rnacentral:lncRNA from 14 species